GAUGAGUGCUAAUCCUCCCGACUGCUCAAAGCAAAGAAAUCAAUCUCUCUCGUACUCGAUCAUGUCUCGCCUGAAGAACGACUGCUUGUCUUUCGUUGUUUCAUUGCAAGAGGGUUUUCGUUAUGUUAAGGCAUGCUUCGUUGGUCAGGCUAAGAAGUUGACAGCAAGGAAUGAGCAGGAAGCAACAGAAGCAGAGCUUCAGACAGCCAAAAUGCAAGUUGAAGCUGCUGAUGCCGCUGAGGAUACCAAAAACAGACUCCAUAAUUAUCCCUAAUGUAAUACUCUUGGACCGGUGCCUGCAUUGAUUGAAAUCAAAGAAUGGCCAGACCUCUGCAUCGAGAUUUCCUAUUCGAGUAAUUUCUCCGGACAAUUCUCCUUCCGAACCUGGAAAUACCGAAAAUGGCUUUGUAUCUGAUCCCUUCAUGGCUGGUACUCCCAGAAGUCGGCACAAGUUAACGCUGCUACCGUUGAAGUUAAAGUUUAGUUUUGAUUUUUAUUCUAACUCUUACCGGAUCCUUUUGGCGGACACUCGCCAUCUCAACAAGUUCAAGAGGUCACAUAUACCAUG